UAGCAUAAUAAUUUGUCUCUUAAUUAGAGACUGGAAUGAAUGGAAUCACGAGAGUCUAACUGUUUCUCUUUUAAUAAUAAAAACUAACAUUUAAGUGAAGAGGCUUAAAUCAAAAAAAAAGACAAAAAGACCCUAUUGAGCUUGAUCUAAAAGAAAGCUUUCUUUCCAAGGAUUUUGUUGGGGCAACAAGAGGAUACCUAAAUCUCCUCUAUUUUUAUAUCCGGAUCCGCUAAGCGAUCAAUAAAUAAAGCUACCAUAGGGAUAACAGGCUAAUUCUUUUUGAGAGACCACAUUGACAAAAGAGAUUGGCACCUCGAUGUUGGCUUAGGAAAUCUAUUAGAUGCAGAA
rnacentral:rRNA from 1 species